rnacentral:rRNA from 1 species
GGGGUAAACCUGCGAAACUCGAAUGAACGAACGGAGAGAUUCAUCGUCAUUCCGCGGCGUACGGAUGCGCGUUCGAUGUCUUCGACCUCGGUCGGUGGGCACGUCGCGUAUUCGUCGACGUCCGUGGACGGCGUGCACUUCUCUCUUAGUAACGCAUGCAUCGCGACCCGUUCGAUGUCGGUCUAAGCGCCGUUCGGGAGCCCCGCUAUCCCCUCUCGGGGGGGUGACGGGACCGUUUACGGACGCCGACCGGCCGUCGGACGGUAUAAUAUAUGAAGCGCGCACGCGUUUAAAACGCGUCCGGCCCGACGCAAGUCAACGUCGUAUCCGAUGUACCGCCCGAGUGCGGACGUUGGUGCGGCGCGUCUGUCGUCGCCGCCGUGCAGUCUCGGACCGUGCGCGUCUCAGUCUGCGAUGAUUCAGUUUCGGGCACUCGCAGGACCCGUCUUGAAACACGGACCAAGGAGUCUAGCAUGUAUGCGAGUCAUUGAGUAUAUUACAAUAAACUGAAAGGCGUAACGAAAGUGAAGGCGUGCGCUUGCCGCGCGCUCAGGGAGGAUGGAGCGUCGAUCUAGGUCGAUCUCUCGCACUCCCGAGGCGUCUCGUUUCCAAUCCGUGAAUGCAGGCGCGCUC